CAGCAGUAGGGAAUCUUCCACAAUGGACGAAAGUCUGAUGGAGCAACGCCGCGUGAGUGAUGAAGGGUUUCGGCUCGUAAAACUCUGUUGUUGGAGAAGAACAGGUGAUAGAGUAACUGUUAUCAUCUUGACGGUAUCCAACCAGAAAGCCACGGCUAACUACGUGCCAGCAGCCGCGGUAAUACGUAGGUGGCAAGCGUUGUCCGGAUUUAUUGGGCGUAAAGCGAGCGCAGGCGGUUUUUUAGGUCUGAUGUGAAAGCCUUCGGCUUAACCGGAGAAGGGCAUCGGAAACCGGGAGACUUGAGUGCAGAAGAGGACAGUGGAACUCCAUGUGUAGCGGUGAAAUGCGUAGAUAUAUGGAAGAACACCAGUGGCUAAGGCGGCUGUCUGGUCUGUAACUGACGCUGAGGCUCGAAAGCAUGGGUAGCGAACAGGAUUAGA
rnacentral:rRNA from 1 species